rnacentral:rRNA from 1 species
GAUGAACGCUGGCGGCGCGCCUAACACAUGCAAGUCGAACGGUUAAAGCACCUUUUAGGUGUGUAUAAAGUGGCGAACGGCUGAGUAACACGUGGGCAACCUGCCCUCCUCUUGGGGAUAGCCUCGGGAAACCGAGGAUAAUACCCGAUACUUCAAUGUGGCCGCAUGACGACAUUGAGAAAGCUUUUGCGGAGAAGGAUGGGCCCGCGGCCUGUUAGCUUGUUGGUGGGGUAGAGGCCUACCAAGGCAAUGAUGGGUAGCUGGGUUGAGAGACCGACCAGCCAGAUUGGGACUGAGACACGGCCCAGGCUCCUACGGGAGGCAGCAGUGGGGAAUCUUGCACAAUGGGCGAAAGCCUGAUGCAGCGACGCCGCGUGCGGGACGAAGGCCUUCGGGUUGUAAACCGCUUUCAGCAGGGACGAGGCGAUAAGUGACGGUACCUGCAGAAGAAGCCCCGGCUAACUACGUG